rnacentral:rRNA from 1 species
GUUUGAUCCUGGCUCAGAUUGAACGCUGGCGGCAUGCCUUACACAUGCAAGUCGAACGGCAGCACGGGAGCAAUCCUGGUGGCGAGUGGCGAACGGGUGAGUAAUACAUCGGAACGUGCCCCAGUAGUGGGGGAUAACUGCUCGAAAGAGCAGCUAAUACCGCAUACGACCUGAGGGUGAAAGCGGGGGAUCGCAAGACCUCGCGCUAUUGGAGCGGCCGAUGUCAGAUUAGCUAGUUGGUGGGGUAAAGGCCUACCAAGGCAACGAUCUGUAGUUGGUCUGAGAGGACGACCAGCCACACUGGGACUGAGACACGGCCCCAGACUCCUACGGGAGGCAGCAGUGGGGAAUUUUGGACAAUGGGGGGCAACCCUGAUCCAGCAAUGCCGCGUGCAGGAAGAAGGCC